AUUGAACGCUGGCGGCAUGCCUUACACAUGCAAGUCGAACGGUAACAGGUCUUCGGAUGCUGACGAGUGGCGAACGGGUGGGUAAUACAUCGGACCGUGCCUAGUAGCGGGGGAUAACUACUCGAAAGAGUGGCUAAUACCGCAUGAGAUCUACGGAUGAAAGCAGGGGAUCGCACGACCUUGUGCUACUAGAGCGGCCGAUGGCAGAUACGGUAGUUGUUGGGAUAAAAGCUUACCAAGCCGACGAUCUGUAGCUGGUCUGAGAGGACGAUCAGCCACACUGGGACUGAGACACGGCCCAGACUCCUACGGGAGGCAGCAGUGGGGAAUUUUGGACAAUGGGCGCAAGCCUGAUCCAGCAAUGCCGCGUGCAGGAUGAAGGCCUUCGGGUUGUAAACUGCUUUUGUACGGAACGAAAAGCCCCGGGUUAAUACCCUGGGGUCAUGACGGUACCGUAAGAAUAAGCACCGGCUAACUACGUGCCAGCAGCCGCGGUAA
rnacentral:rRNA from 1 species